CACUGGUGUGUGAGGGCGUCGACAGGAGCAAGAGAAAGAGAGGGGAAACCCUCCAACUUAACCAAAUCAGUAAAAUUGAAAGGGAAAUUGAAGCUUGAUUGUAUGCAUGAACACAAAUUCUCCAUCAUCUAAGUGUGCUUAACAUAAAGGAUAUGAACAAUAUUAGCGGACUCAAGCAUGGAGAGCUAACGAGUCAAGAUGAGGCAAGGAAACAAAUACGAAUACGCACGCUUAAGGUUAUGCAGAUUAACAUCGGUAUAAAGUAUUGGAGGAUUGAAGAUUGAGUCAAGAGCAAGAAUUGUACGGGAAGAGUAGUCACAUAACUGGGGAUUUUAUAUGUAAAUGGAUGCGAUAACUAAGAAUGAACGAUGUAAACCUUUUAGUCAAGUAUUAAAUAUUUAUAGUAUUAGACAUCAA